rnacentral:rRNA from 1 species
GAGAGUCUAGCCUGCCCACUGAAAAAUUAAAGGGCCGCGGUAUAUUGACCGUGCAAAGGUAGCAUAAUCAUUAGUCUUUUAAUUGGAGGCUUGUAUGAAUGGUUGAACAAAGAAAUAACUGUCUUUUUUAUAAAAAUUGAAUUUAACUUUAGGGUGAGAAGGCCUUAAUUAACUAAGGGGACGAUAAGACCCUAUAAAGCUUUACAUAAUUUUUGUUUUUUAUAGAUUUGUAAUUUUAAUUCUAAAAAAUAAUGUUGUGUUUUGUUGGGGUGACAUGAGUAUAAUUGUUAUAACUGCUUAGAAUUUAAAACAUUAAUUAAUGUGUUAGUGAUCCUUAGUAAAGAUUAUCAGAAUAAGUUACUUUAGGGAUAACAGCGUUAUUUUUCUUGAGAGUUCAUAUCGAAAGAAAAAAUUGCGACCUCGAUGUUGAAUUAAAAUUUCUUUAUAAUGUAGCAGUUAUAAUAGAGGGUCUGUUCGACCUUUAAAUUUUUACGUGAUCUGAGUUCAGACCGGGAAGG